GCCCUACGGGAGGCAGCAGUGGGGAAUCUUCCGCAAUGGACGAAAGUCUGACGGAGCAACGCCGCGUGUACGACGAAGGCCUUCGGGUUGUAAAGUACUGUCUUCAGGGACGAACGGCAGGUAUGAAAAUAUUGUACUUGCAUGACGGUACCUGAGGAGGAAGCCCCGGCUAACUACGUGCCAGCAGCCGCGGUAAUACGUAGGGGACAAGCGUUGUCCGGAAUCAUUGGGCGUAAAGGGGGCGUAGGCGGAUGAGUGGGGGUGGUGUGAAAACCUAGGGCUCAACCCUGGGACUGCAUCGGAAACUGGUUAUCUUGAGGACAGGAGAGGAAAGUGGAAUUCCACGUGUAGCGGUGAAAUGCGUAGAUAUGUGGAGGAACACCAGUGGCGAAGGCGACUUUCUGGACUGUAACUGACGCUGAGGCGCGAAAGCGUGGGGAGCAAACAGGAUUAGAUACCCGUGUAGUC
rnacentral:rRNA from 1 species